UUUUCAGCCGCCGCGGUAAUACAGAGGGGGCGAGCGUUGUUCGGAAUUACUGGGCGUAAAGGGCGCGUAGGCGGCCUUCUAAGUCGAACGUGAAAUCCCCGGGCUCAACCCGGGAACUGCGUCCGAUACUGGGAGGCUUGAAUCCGGGAGAGGGAUGUGGAAUUCCAGGUGUAGCGGUGAAAUGCGUAGAUAUCUGGAGGAACACCGGUGGCGAAGGCGGCAUCCUGGACCGGUAUUGACGCUGAGGCGCGAAAGCCAGGGGAGCAAACGGGAUUAGAAACCCCGGUAGUCC
rnacentral:rRNA from 1 species